rnacentral:rRNA from 1 species
AUUGAACGCUGGCGGCAUGCCUUACACAUGCAAGUCGAACGGUAACAGGUCUUCGGAUGCUGACGAGUGGCGAACGGGUGAGUAAUACAUCGGAACGUGCCCGAUCGUGGGGGAUAACGGCAGCGAAAGCUGUGCUAAUACCGCAUACGAUCUACGGGAUGGAAAGCGGGGAUCGCAAGACCUCGCGCGGACGGAGCGGCCGAUGGCAGAUUAGGUAGUUGGUGGGAUAAAAAGCUUACCAAGCCGACGAUCUGUAGCUGGUCUGAGAGGACGACCAGCCACACUGGGACUGAGACACGGCCCAGACUCCUACGGGAGGCAGCAGUGGGGAAUUUUGGACAAUGGGCGCAAGCCUGAUCCAGCCAUGCCGCGUGCAGGAUGAAGGCCUCGGGUUGUAAACUGCUUUUGUUACGGAACGAAAAAGACUCUCUCUAAUACAGGGGUGGAAUGACGGUACCGUAAGAAUAAGACACCGGCUAACUACGUGCCAGCAGCCGCGGUAA